AGGAUCAUAAAGCCCAAGGCAAACUACACAUUUUCUUUGGAAAAAAAAGAGCAAUUUGUGAAUGGGUAAAAAGUUUAAAUAUUCCAGAUGGAUAUGCUUCAAACUUGGCUAGAUGUGUUGACAUGAAGGAAGGAAAGUUACAUGGAAUGAAAAGUCAUGAUUGUCAUGUGUUCAUGGAAUGUUUACUUCCAAUUGCUUUUAUCUCAUUACCAGAACAAACAUGGAAGCCUUUAACUGAGCUUAGUCAUUUCUUUAGAGAUUUAUGCUCAACAUCAGUACAAGUGGAUGAUCUUAUUAGCCAUGAACAAAAUAUUCCAAUUGUGUUAUGUAAAGUGGAACACAUUUUCCCGCUUGGAUAUUUUGACUCAAUGGAACACUUACCUAUUCAUUUGCCAUAUGAAGCGAGAGUUGGCAGUCCAGUGCAAUAUAGAUGGAUGUAUCCCUUUGAGAGAUUUCUCCAUCACCUUAAAAAAAAGGUUAAGAAUAAGGCUCGUGUUGAAGGAUCAAUAAUUAAGUCAUACCUUAUUGAAGAUAUUUCUCAAUUUUGCACAUACUAUUUUCAGUCAAACAAGCAACCAUACAAUGCUAGCAUUGGAAGAAAGGCGAAUGAAGACGACUUUUCACAAACUGUCUUUUCUAUUUUUAAUUUGCCUGGCCGAUUUGGUAGUGAAUGCAAAGUUCGUUUUUUUGAGGAUAAGGAAUUGAAUGCUGUCGUGAAUCAUAUAUUAAUCAAUUGUGAUGAGAUUCAACCUUAUAUUGAGACCUUUGUGGAGGCAUUACGAAAAGUUCAUCGUAAUAUGAGUGAUGAACAUGCAGAUAAAUGUAUUGAAGAAAACUUUGCAUCAUGGCUGAAAGAAUAUAUGUCUGGUAGAGGUACAAAUAAAUGUGGAAGGAUUUCAUCCUCUCGAGGACGACACUCAUCUAGUAGAGGGAUAAUUGAUUUAAAAAUUUCACCUGUUGGUAAAAGUUUCGACCCCAACAAAAGUAAGGAAGACCUACUUGCUAUUGAUCCUCAUGUGCCUGAAAAUGAUUGGAUUGCUUUUGUUAAUUACUAUAAAAUACCACAAAUAAAGAAACUAAAUGAACAAAAUAUGCUUAAAGUCUCGCAUGUUGGGGUUAGUAUGAGCAUCGCAAGAAGGGAUCGUCAUAUGGAAAAUAUAUCAGAGAACUUGUCUCAAGAUCAAGAACGUGUUGUCAUUGAAGGUGUUUCAUCAAAGAUUAAUGUCUAUCCAGAUGAUGUUAUUGGCAAAGUGUACGGAGCUGAACAUUCAGGUCGAGUGUGUGGUUUAGGUGUUUGCCCCACGAUUGUUUUCAAGACGCGCAAAUAUUUCGCGCAAUUUGACAAUGUUGGUAGCUUUAGCCAAAAAAAUAUUGAGGAGUUGCAAAAGGAAGUGCACACUUUGAAAGAAAAUUUAAAUGGAUAUGAAGAGACUAAGAAGCAACUUUAACAAACACCAGAUCAACUUAAAGUUCUCCUUAAUUUUAUACAAAGCAAGUUUGGUGAUGAGUUACCUACUUUCAUCCAAGGUUCUAAUUCUCAUAAUUAACGAGUAAAGUUCACCUUGAUUUUUGGACUACAAAUGGAAUGAUUGUGUUUUUUGUUGUAUGCAAGUAAAUGGAAGAAAUAUGCUGCUAUUUGGAUUGCAAAUGGAAGGAAUAUGGUGUUUAGUGGAUUGUUUUGCUUUUGCUCUAGACUAUUUUGAUGUCGUCAACAAUUUUUGUAUGCUUCAUUAGUUUAUGUUUAAGAUUUUAGAAUGUUUGACUACUAGUUUAAGUUUUGUUGUUGGUAUAAACAAUAGAUCAUAGCAUUUGGGCAUAUGUUUUUAGCUUUUUAGUUUGGUA